AAGUCUCUAACCCUAAAUCAGAUCUGCUCAUCUUCUCGCCUUCUAAGUUCUACGCUUCUCCACUCCACAGUCUGCCCUCGCUAAUCACUUCGCUGUUCUCGCCUCUCGGCUCUUGGUUUUUGUUUCUCCGUCCUCGGACGCCAACGCCCUAGCUCCUCUCCCUGUCUCCCUCACACUCUGCGGACUGCGGCCGACGCCCUCACUCCUCUCACCUAGUCACCUAACCUCGGUCUCGCCGGAAGCCUGGUCGCCCCUCAGCCAGUCACUCCUCAGUAAGGUAGUAGGGAACAAAAGCUUAGCAGCGUUGCUUCUCAUCCUCUUCUCGGCUAGUCGCCUACCGGUACCGCCAAGCCCCGUUUGGGGAGACACGAGGAGAAUUCUCAUGGCGGC